rnacentral:lncRNA from 1 species
UCGAGAUUCUUCUAUGUCAACCCUAAAAUUACCAUUCAAAAUGACUUCUAGCUUCAUCGUGCUUAAAACCUGCUUGGUAACGACCUUAUAUAUCUAACGUGAUCGAAUUUGACGACAUGGUUACUCCUGCACAUCAAAAACAAUAUAAAAACUAAAAUAAAGAACACCUAUUCUACUCAUCAGUAAUUAAUCCAAAUGACUAUAAAACAUUUGUAAUCUAUGGAUUCUUGCCAGCAUUAAAAG